GUCCAGGGAUGGGAAUCGAACCCACAGUGUUCCGCUUACCGAGUUAGAUGCCAUGUCCACUAUAGGCUACCCUAGA
rnacentral:tRNA from 1 species